GUUUGGGAUCUGUCAGGUAAACUAAGUUGCGAUUAUACCAUACAUACUAUUGCAUCAGUGGGACGCAUUAAAUGGAGACCACAGAAAAAAAUAUCACAUAGCAAGUUGUGUUCUAGUGAUUGAUUGUAGUAUAAAUGUAUGGGAUAUUCGCAGACCAUAUAUUCCAUUUGCAAGUUUCAAUGAACAUAAAGAUGUUCCCACAGAUGUGGGAGAGGCAAUCCACAAUCAUUUCUAUCGACAAGCAGAGAUUGCAUCAUAUUUUUGACCAUACGGUAAGACCAGCCAGCAAAGCGAAUCCGCAAAGUGUUAUGUUCGCGUUAAGUUUAAAGGAUGAAGUCACAUAUGCUUGUAAAGUAAAAUAUGAACCGGCUGCUACCGGCGGCUACCGCAAGACAACUGACUAGUAUAAUGAGGAGAACACUUGUGACAAAUGAAGAUACUUUUUGUGUGCCUUCAAGUGUAACGCAUAGAUUCACUUUGAAACAGAAUUCCGCUAUUGGGACAUUACUUUGUUCAACUUGACAAUAGAAAAAUGUAAGUUUUUUAGUAUUAUAA